AAAAUUCCAAUAAAAAUUCCUAAACUGAUAAUCUGAAACCCCUAACACAGUUACUACAGCUCUCAAAUCUCAACUCUCGUCAGUCGUCUAAGAUACCCGCAGCUCGUCGUCCAUCUUCUCUUAAGGCUCAGGCCAGCCACUGCUCAGUCCUCACUGACUGUUAAGUGCUCGCUGCCCGGAACUGUUCAGUGCUCGUGACUCACGCCUCGCAGGUGAAGUGAGAGUAAGACAUUCUUGAAGCUUCUUCCGCUGACGAAUGGCUGGAAAGUCUGUAGCAAAAGCAGUUGGGCGAUAUCAAUAUCCAUGGCAAGAAAAGUUGGCAAAAUACAAGGAUGAGCUUUCAAAGGGAGUUUGGGGUUACUGGGAGCUUGGAGCCUGGAAACCUCUGGGGAUGAGUGCUCGCCAUCGAGCUCGUCUGCGCAAGGAAGUUGUUGUUGCUGGACAAGAUUGGCCAUACGAUCCAGCGAGAAAGGAAAUGAGAACGAAGCAGAAAGGGCACAAGUGUGACAGAAUAUCAGCAGAAAAACGGGCAAAGACAGCCGAACUGAUGCAAAAAAUGCCUGAAAUGUUGGCUGAUUACAGGAAGAGAAAGUGGGAAAGGAAAAUGAAAGCAGAAGAAGAUGCUGCCAGAAAAUCAUUGCAAGAAUAGGUUUUAGCAUCCUUCCUUUCUUUUCCAACAACAUAAUGGACCAAAGAUUUCCUGCUCACUUGUCUUGUUCUCUUUUUGUGAGUUUAAUAACUAGUGUUUUGUUUUUCUUAUUAUGAAAACAAACAAAAGAUGUUUUGGAGCACUAAGUUGUUGGUCUAACAAUUUUAAACAUUAGAUUAGAUGAGCAAAU
rnacentral:misc_RNA from 1 species